GAAAGCCCCCGCACAGAAACGAAGACCCAACACAGCCAAAAAUAAAUUAAUGAAAAAAAAAAUUUCUGACUUAAGAAGGCUGGAUAACAUUUACCUGUUUAGGUAUGCAUUUCACCACACCCCAUACCUUCUUACUUCCUUUUUCUUCUAAUAUAGAGCAUGUGCUUUCAUUUCCCAAUUUUGACUUAAAAUUUUAUGGCACUAAUAAUUCAUUACAUUUACUUAGAACGAGAAAUUCAUCUAAUGACUCAUGUGUAAAGGGAUGCUUACGAAAUAAAAAUCAGUGAGCAUGUUGUACCAUCCAAGUGCCUCCAGAGUUACUUAGACUUGUCCUAACUGAUGCUGUAAACUUUGAAAUAAAGCAGACUGCAGAACUUCUGUGGUUUGUGACCCCUUCCAAAAUAUGGCAGAAUUUAUAGUCAUUGCAUGUGAAAACUUAUAUAAUUAUCAUUAUAAUUUUUUCUUGUAACUAAAAUUCUGAAUGAGCCCAAACAUAGACUUGUGAGUUCAUUUUUCUAUAAUACAAGAAAAAAUUAGAAUGUUUAAAGGAUUAAGUUGUAUACGAUUUCUGAUUGUGUAUCUUAGUGCUUAGAAGACUCUUGACUUUUAAAAGAAGGGUAAAAAUGCCACUAUCUACUAUAGAAAUUUUUCUUGACAUCUUGGCUUUUGGGGCCUAUCAAUCUGAAGACAACUAUUUAUUUUUAAUACUAACAAAUCUGAAUUUGGGAUAUAUCUUACAAUGAUGGGUUGUUAGCGCCCUAUUGUAAUUUAAUUGGUAGUUUUUUUCAUGCCUUACAACUGAUGGUGUCUUAACUUUGGUGAAAUAUUGCAGUUGUUAAGAUGGAUGAAUUGAUCUGACUUAUUAAAUCCCUUUUAUGUUACUUUUAUGUUUCUAGUAAACUUCUUUCACUUUCUGUCCUGUAUCAUCCUCUGGCCUCAGCCCAUUGUACCUUACCUCUGGGCCACAAUUCUCCUGCCUAUAAAGUAAAGGGGAUGGAGCAAGUGGUUUCCAAUGUCCCUACAUUUUGAAUGUGCUCUGAUUUACUUCUUUACUGACUACCUAAUAUCUUUGUCUUUCCUGAAGAGGGCAUCCGCAAGGGCACAGUGGAUCCCUCCAGUUCCUUAACUGAACACAAUACAAAAUGUGAUGGAGGUAGGUGGGAAUAAUUAAGGGGUAGGCUCUCACUUAAGUAAGAUACAGCUUAGAUCCGGAAACACAAUAUAUUUGCCUACAUUUAUGUCUGAUAGUCUUAAAGGGUAAUCCCUCUACGUGAUCCAGAAUUCUGGGAAGAUCUAUGGGAAUUUGUGAGGAAGUCAAAAACUAUUCUUAUUCUUUUUAGGUCAAUGGAGAAAAUAUUAAAGAGCUAAUGAUCUUCGUUUGUUCCUUGAUUUCUUUGAGAAAGGACCUGAGGGUCACCACCAAGCUCUGAGAAUGAAGGAGGUGAGGACUAGUAUGUUUCUGGUAUAUUCCUGGGAACUGUGGAGAAAUGAAACAUGAAAGACAUGUUUAUGGGCUUUAUUCUAGAGCACACAGGAUAACAAUUGCAUGAAGCCAAGAAGGACAGACGUGUCCCUACAUUCAUCAGAACUCAUAAUUGACUUUUGUCGAAUCACCAGCUCCCAUACUUCAGAUGAUAUCAACUACAAGAGAUGCGUGUUUUCUAUAUAUAUUGCUCAGAGAAAUUGUAGCAGGCAGCUUCUGUGACAGAGAAAAAAAGAAAGUUUUAUCAAACCCCAGAACUCAAUCUCCCAGCAUCUGUUUACACUUCUUGGAAUGACUGAAUAUGUGUGAGAAGAAAAUGGCAGAAACCGGGAGGUUACGAGCUGUGAGUGGAUACACAAAACUCUCACAAGUCGUGCAAUCGUCCUUGACUAGCCAGUUUCAGCAAGCCCACCUUAUGUAGCAUAUCUGCAGGAGCAUUGCUACAUCAACUAGGGAAGAAAACCUUCACUUAUAAGCCUCGACCACAACACAAAAGAUGAGGAGGAGCAGGGUCAUUGCAACAGCUGCUUUAUAAUUCAUUACAAGUGGUUAGCUCCUGAGUUGAACUAAAUACCAAAGUCUCUGAUUAGAGGUAACUGGUUUCCUUCCUGUGACACUGAAAAUGUCAAAAAGUAAGCUGCCUCUGGAUGGACCUCACUUUGAAGCUUAUUUGUGAUGAUUCCAGUUAGUUCUAAGGUGGUAAGAAUUAGAAUAUAUUAUAUUUUGUUUUACAGAUUCUUUGAAGUUUCUUGCUGGAGCUUAUUUUUAAAUAUCCUCAGUCUUUUGUUUUAUAUUCAUAAGCAAAUUGAUUUCCUCACUCCUGAUUCUAUCUUACCAAUUUUUAAAUUAUUUAUAGUUACCUGUUACAAUUAACAAGAAAAUUGUACCUGAUCUAGUCAUAUUUUUAUGGAAAACUUUGUUUCAUCAUUCUAUGAACUUCUACCUAAAUUGCAAAAUUUAAAUUGGUCAUAAAAGGUUUUUUUUUUAUCUUGAAGGAGUUUAAAAAGAAGCAGCAUGUAUGAAGAAGCUACUGAUACUUUAUUUUUUCUUUUCAGAUAGAGUGAUCAUGUAUAUACAAUUUUUAUCCUGUGCAACUCCAAUGAUAAAAUUCCUAGGAUUGAUAGGGAUUUGGGAAGAAAUAGUGGAUAAAACUUACAAUCAUUUGGGAUUUAAUUAAGUCACAUUUUCAGCAGGUGUUCUAAAUAAAUACAAUAACAGUAAUAAAUAUUAUUAGCAUGCAAGAUAGUGCCUGACUGGAGGCGGUAAACAUUAGAUAGGGUUUGAAUAAAGGACUAUAAGCUCGGUAUCACAGAACUUUAGAUAGGUAAGUUACCUAAAAAAUGUUCUUGUCCAAUUCCUGAGUUUUACAAGUGAGAAAAUUCAGUUUCAGGAGAAGAAACUGUUUCAGGUUAAACAGUCUGUUAGUGGCAUAGUUGAGGCAACAUUCUAUGUCUUCUACUUCUGAUUCACUACCUUUAGUCUCUGUUUUUUCUAGAUAUACCAACUGAAAAACAAAAGUGACUACAUGUAUUGAAUUAUCCAUAUAAUUAUUAAUUUAAAUAGUACAACUUAACCUUGAUCUACAAAGUUAUACCUGAACAUACUUUGAAUAGUGUUGUGAAUUUUGUAGAUCAUGUUCAAUUAUUUAUCGCUUACUCAAAACUUGUUUCCAUUGUACAAGCCAAAUUAUGACAAUAUAGAAAGUAGAAAAAGAAAUGGAGAACAUCCACAACUUCUACCAUUACAGUACACACUAUGCAAUUUUUACUCCUAGUACUUAUUCAUGCUUACAUAUGUUCUGAAGUUGUAAUGAUGAGGUAAUAUGAUGUUUGUUAUGUUUUAUUUAAUUAACAUUAUAUCAUGACAUUUUCAUGUUAUUACAUAAUGUUCAUAAUGACUACUUUAGCAACUGCAUAGUAUUUCAUUGACUUGCUUUGAUAUUUAUUCAGCCAUUUCCCUCUUGUUGAACAAUUAAGUCACCUCCAAUGUAACUGUUAAUAACACUGCAGUGAAUGUCUUCAUUCACAUUGCUUGUGUAUGUUGUUUUUCUUUAAAUUAUUUUUCUGUGGGUAAAUUACAAACUAUUGAAUUUUGACUGGAUAUGAGUAUUUAGGUAUCAGCAGGGCUCAUAGCGCAUUUUGCUAAAUAGUUUUCCAAAAAGGUUACAUCAUAUAACUAAAGAAUAAAGUCAUCUAGGCUGUUGAUUAAAUAGAACAGCCCCACUUUUACCAGACAUGGACCAUGGAAACAACAGAGAAGCCACAGUUAGGACUGGCCUUGUGUGCAGAAGGGUGUCCAGAAGUCUGCACAGAUAAUGUACAUGACAGUCCCUAGAAAUGAAGCCUAGUAGUUUUCCGGAAAUUUCCAACAAUGUAAAUUCUCAGUUAGUGCCUUCUUAAGGAACUAAGAUUUUUAAGAAAGUCAAGACAUUUGUAGACCAAAGAAGGGUAAAGAAUUAGCUAACACAUGUGCAGAGUCUAGUUGACAUGAUUAACACCCAUUACCAAUCAUGUACACUUAGAGAAAAUAGCCUUAAGGCUUCAAAUAAGUACUAAGAAGGAAGAAGUUGAGCACAUGAGACUCUUUUGCCUGUUGAGUGAAAGAAAAUAGAAAAUUGGACUUAAAUCUCUCAUCCAUCAUAAACAUGUAUUCCCUAUACACACACCCCACCCCACCCUCAAUCCGAUACACACACACACACACACACACACACACACACACAGGUCAAUGAAAAGACCAUGCUUUUCUUUUUUUUCCCACAGACUUACUGUUUGUUUUCCUCCAAAUGGCAAUGGCAGAAGUAGAUUGAGUUACUUAGGCAGAGUUCUGUGUUAGAACUGUGAACCACCUUUUCGUCCUGCUUUUUUAAUAAAAAGGUUGCUUAUGUUUCAGUUCAAUCUCUGUGGCUAUUGCUAUUGAGUAAACCCCUUUACUCCAACCUUCUGGGUGAAAAAAGACCAUGCUUUUUAAAUUUCAUAAGUUCUUUAGGACUCAGACCCAGGACUCCCAGGGCUGUGGUGAUUGACUUGCUCUUUAUUGCUCAGUAUUUUUUUUCCUGGUAUAUGGAGCUACACAGCUACCAUUUACUGAAAAGCUGCUAUCUCCUAGCCACUUUCUUGGAUGCUUUUUGUUUAGGAUAUCAUUUAAUCCUCACAACAACUCUAUAUAGUACCAUUUAUUUCUCUCUAUUACAUAUGUGGAAAUCAAGGCCCAGAAUCUUUAAGCAAUUUGCAUGAAAACACAAGUUCUGAGUUAUACGGUGGCAGAGCCAAGAUUCACCCUUCUCUGAUUGAUGCUGUUCUGUGAAGUGCCUCUCAGUGCAGCACAGACAAAGUGAGGGGGGCAUUUCUACCUGAAUAUGUUAACAUUUCUGGGAUAUUUUGGUUCUCUUGAGAUUUUUCUAUUCAUAAAAGUUGAAAAACCUCUCAGUUACUUCUUUUUCUCAGAAUGUCGGUCAUACUGGAUAUUUAAUCUGCUAUUAAAUGUAUGUCCAGAAGAAUACCAAUGGGAACCAAAAUAGUGGCCCAAAAUGAACUCUGUAAUGUUUAAUGAAAUGUUAUAAUAUUUUGCGUUCAAUCUUCAUGACUAAAGUCAUGACAGAUGUUCCAAAUCAGCAGCUGUGUUGCCAGUGGAAUCUCAACAAUAUUAAUUCAGAUUUGAACAACCACUCUUGAUUUAUCUCUUUAGAUUCAGGUCCCAUAAAAACUAAGGAUGAAGUCUCCUGACUGAAGUCUUUAAAUUUAAUUUCUAAAAAGCAAUUAAAUCUGAUAAAGUGUUUGGGUCUGAGAAAUUUUGGUGAAGGCAAAGAAUGAAACAGGAAUAUACCUGUGUCAUAACACAGCUACCUUAUUAACAAUUCUCCUCCUCAAGUAGUUAAGCUGAUCUCUCAGCAAAUCCAUUAAAAUUACUCACAAGAAUUUAAGUAUGUACUGUUAGUCAGAAUGAUCUUGGUACAGAGUUAAAAAGCAUUAUUCCUUUCCCUGCUUUGAAAUUUUCACCCAAAGAAGGAUUAGAUGAAUUCUAAGUUUUUUAAGUUUGUAGAAGAAUUCUACCACAAAUUUAAACUCAAGAGGAAAACGGUUUAGAUGUAUGAUUAAUAUAUUAUUAGUGAAUAUUUGGGAUAAAAAAGUUUCAUACUUAGAAAUGCCAAACAAAACCAAUUUAUAUCUAUUGUAGGCGGAAAGAUACUGGCCAUAAAUAUAUCUUGAACUUUUAACUGUGGCAAAAGAAAUUUUACUACAUGUUCUGCCUGCCUUUACAUAGGUAGUUAAACUCUAUAUAAUUAUAUAGUUAGAAACACAGUUAUAUAACAAAUUAAGUCCUGGGAAAGGGAAAAAAACAUGAUUCCGUGUAGAUACACACAGCCCUCAAAAUUUGCUUGCAAAUGGUUUGGCUCUUAAACAUAAUUUCUCACAGAAAAAUAUUUCAAAUUAUAGCCCCUCUCCACCUGAAACCCACUGAAUGCAUAAUUAAGUUGAAAUGUGGUUAUUAUAUUUGAGACAGAGCUCUUUCAGGGAGGAAGGAGGCAGAGGACACACAUUUACUUCUUUCCUUUAGGGCUGUCUAUGAAUAAAAUAUUGUCAUAGACAAUAUUUAUCAGGAAUCUUUUAUAUUCUUUCAUCUGUCACCUGAAUUUUGCCUGCUGCUCAGUUUUUGGUGUGUGCUAUACUCACUUCCUGUUUUAAACUACACUUAUUGGCACACUACCCAGGACCAGCCUACCUCCCAAAGGACUUUGUACCUCAAAAUGAUCUCCCUCCCCUCUUGUCCCUACUGCAGUGCCUUCCAUGUAGAAGGCACUCAAUAAUUACUCAUUGAAGGAAUGAAUGAAAUAAGAAACAUACAAAGUAAAAGAGAAAAGAUGUGGUUUUGAUCCUUUAUAGCCUCUUCACUUUCCCUAUAUUUACAUUGUUUUCCAAGUUUCAUCCGUUUGUUGUUUUGCACAAUGGCUCCCUUGGAGGUGAGAGCUUGAGUUCCAACAAGUGUGGUAAGGGUAGGGUGGAGGACAGCCGGGCACAUGUUUUAUGCAGAUUUUUAGAUUCAGUGUUAAUGGAAGGCUCACCUUAUCUUUAAAUGAUGAGGUUAUUGUAAAUAGCGAGGCUACAAAGCUCAAGAGAACAUGGUGAAUCACGAUGACAAAAGGUAAGCACACAGUGGUAAUGUGGUGUAGAGAUUCCAGACUUGCCUCACGUGUGUUCCAAGCAGUGACGGCAUCUUAAAGCAGCCACAUCUCUGUCCUAUCCAACACAUAGAGAGGCACAAUAGAACAGUGCAGCUACAGUGCUUCUGCUUUGCAACAGUGGUUCACAGCCAACGAUGCUCAAUGCUCAGUGUGGCUCCCAUGGUAACUCAUGGGCGAGGUGCCUCGUUAGGCCCUUCCUGUGCUGCAUACCUAUCUCAUUGCUAAGCUGCUUCUGGUUGAAAUCCCAUGCACAUGCUCUUGUAUGGUCAAAAGGAGACUUCCUCUGUACAGAACUCACUCAGAGCCCGACAUGGGCACAUGGCAGGCUGCUGGCCAAAAUGUGCCCGCUAAGCCGCUAACAAAUGAAUCAUGAAUCUGGGUGACUGGAGAGACAAAUGUUUACCAUGGAAUGGUAACAAAAAGUCUGGGCUUUUUGCCAUUUAGGAAAGAAAAAAGAGUAUAUAAACUUUCUUAUCCUUUCCUGUAUGGAGGUCUAAGAAGGUACAGGGCAUUCAGUUCAGUCUUUGGACAGCAAGCAAAGUGACAAUAAAUGAGACUUUUUAGAGAUUCACAGUGAAAUACACAUGUAUGUGUGUGUGUAUAUAUAUAUAUAUAUAUAUAUAUAUAUAAAAUUUUCUUUUUUUGUGAUGACUGGUUUGCUUUACCAUAAACCAGAGUAGGAUGUUGUUAUUACAAUUUAGCUCUUUCCUAUUCCAGCCCUUCAUUGUUUAAGGCUAUAGGGAAAGCAGGUUGUGCUAUUACUCAUUGAACACCAAGAAUGAGGGCAGAAUAAGAUAAUGUUUAUGAGUAUAGCCUUUGUAGUCAGACAGAGUGGAUUUCAAUUCCAGACCUGCCACAAUCUGGCUGUGUGACUUUUAGGAGGUUACUUAACAUCUUCCUCUCUGUAACGGUCACUGCAGGUAGGCAAUAUGUGUUAAGCACUUAGAACAGUGCCUGGGACAGAUUAAGUGCUCAAUAAAUGUUACUUGAAGAUUAUUUGCUUACUGAUAGUAUUCCUAAAAUUAGUACUAGGAAAAUUUUCCACCAAAGGCAUUAUGGCCAAAGAGCAAAAAAUACACACCAAUAAUAUUAUGCCUCACUAGACUAAGUUUGCUAAUUCCUCUAAGGAAAGUUAUUUGAGUAGAAGUAUUUAAAAUUAACUAUUUGCGUAUUGUUUACUUUUUCUUUUCUGUGUUUUAUCAGUCCUUAUCACUGUGCCUGGUGAAUAAAUUAUUUCAGAAAUGGAGAUAAGACAAACAAGAGAUCUAAGACAAUGGAAUGUCUAGUAUGUUAACAUACUCUAUUGCAGAGGGAGAAAAUUAAGAAAAAUGGUUUCUAGCAUAUUUAUGAACAAUGUAUUAUUGAUAUUCUGUGGUACAUACAUACAUGCAUACAUAUAUAGCUGAGCUCAGUCUUUGGGACUGGAAUGUGUGAUCCAGAUGUGCUUGUCUUUCCGUUUGGCCUUCUGCUCCCUUUUCUGAGUGGCCUGCCAUGCCUCCAUUUCUGCUGUCAGUGGCCCUGGCACCUGGAGGACUUCCAGAAAGGUAUAUGCUGACCUGAGCUUUGCUGUAAUCAGAAGCAUCUGGAUUCUUCUCCAUGAACCUCCAGAACUCAUUACAUGCUGACUUGUCAGCUGCAACUGUGCAUGGUGGCCAGGUUCAGGAGUCCCUAGGUGUGAAAACCCAAAAAUGGGUUCAGCUUGCCUCCUGUUCCUCCCAACAUCACCCAAGCAGACCAAGGGAAAUACUGUCAAGUAGCCAGUGCCAAGAUCAUCGUCCGUGUACCCCAGAAGGGGUCGGCAUGAAGAUCCUUACUUACUGCAGAGGGGUCUGCCCCUGCCUCUGAGGCCAACCACUGAGCCUCUCCCAGCUGCGGCUGCUGUGCGCAGGAGGGUGAAGCCACCGGAGCCCAAUGGGGCACUGAGCAGAGACAGAACUCCAGGGUCUAGGGGGCUGGCAGCUAGCCGGAGCUUCAGCAUCCCCCUAUCUCCAGCUCAGCAAGCAGCCAGAAGCACGUCCCAGAGCUCUGGCUGACCAGGGGACUUGGCCUCAUCUGGGGAAGGCCCCAAAGGGGCUGACUGUGAAAAGGCCUCAUCUUCUUGAGGUUUCUGGGAAAGAGUCAUUUGCACCCCAGCCUCCAGAUCUCAGUUUCUCUCCUCCUCUGCUUGGGCAAUACCUCAAAUUCACGAAGAUCCAGCGUCCCCAGUGUCACCUCUACUAGCUCCAACUCUACCUGGGGGCCAUCCUCUCCCUCUGACUCUGAACCUAGGGAAAAAUUUCCUAUGUUAGAUACAUCUAAGGAAUAAGCAGAGGGUAGAAGGGUGUGAGCUGCCCCAGAUGCAUAAGAAUGUACAUAGAUAAUCCAGAUCACUUGAGAUAAAAUUGUCACCCCCCCCCCAAAAAAAAAAUUUCUCCUUCAGCUGCAUUUUGCUUCUCUUUGUCUCUCUGGCAAGCUGGCAAACUGUUUGAUGAUCCCAUGUUCAGCACACAGAGACAUUGCAGGUUCUCCAGUAUCUUCAUUCAACUAUUCAGGGAGAAGCCGAGAACAUCAAACUAUUUUCAGUUAUGCUAGAAAUGCACCAGGAAGUUUCCUACUGUGUAGCAGAGUGGAAGUGAUUUAUUUUAAAUGAGAAAAUGAACCGUUGGUCAAUGGAAAGUUGACAGCUAAUAAAAUAUCUGCAGCUGG